UACGUAGGGUGCGAGCGUUGUCCGGAAUUAUUGGGCGUAAAGAGCUCGUAGGCGGCUUGUCGCGUCGGAUGUGAAAGCCCGGGGCUUAACUCCGGGUCUGCAUUCGAUACGGGCAGGCUAGAGUUCGGUAGAGGAGAUCGGAAUUCCUGGUGUAGCGGUGAAAUGCGCAGAUAUCAGGAGGAACACCGGUGGCGAAGGCGGAUCUCUGGGCCGAUACUGACGCUGAGGAGCGAAAGCGUGGGGAGCGAACAGG
rnacentral:rRNA from 1 species